GGCGGCGUGCUUAACACAUGCAAGUCGAACGAUGAAGCCCUUCGGGGUGGAUUAGUGGCGAACGGGUGAGUAACACGUGGGCAAUCUGCCCUUCACUCUGGGACAAGCCCUGGAAACGGGGUCUAAUACCGGAUACGAGGUUCGGAGGCAUCUCUGAACUUGGAAAGCUCCGGCGGUGAAGGAUGAGCCCGCGGCCUAUCAGCUUGUUGGUGAGGUAAUGGCUCACCAAGGCGACGACGGGUAGCCGGCCUGAGAGGGCGACCGGCCACACUGGGACUGAGACACGGCCCAGACUCCUACGGGAGGCAGCAGUGGGGAAUAUUGCACAAUGGGCGAAAGCCUGAUGCAGCGACGCCGCGUGAGGGAUGACGGCCUUCGGGUUGUAAACCUCUUUCAGCAGGGAAGAAGCGAAAGUGACGGUACCUGCAGAAGAAGCGCCGGCUAACUACGUGCCAGCAGCCGCGGUAAUACGUAGGGCGCAAGCGUUGUCCGGAAUUAUUGGGCGUAAAGAGCUCGUAGGCGGCUUGUCACGUCGAUUGUGAAAGCCCGAGGCUUAACCUCGGGUCUGCAGUCGAUACGGGCUAGCUAGAGUGUGGUAGGGGAGAUCGGAAUUCCUGGUGUAGCGGUGAAAUGCGCAGAUAUCAGGAGGAACACCGGUGGCGAAGGCGGAUCUCUGGGCCAUUACUGACGCUGAGGAGCGAAAGCGUGGGGAGCGAACAGGAUUAGAUACCCUGGUAGUCCACGCCGUAAACGGUGGGCACUAGGUGUUGGCGACAUUCCACGUCGUCGGUGCCGCAGCUAACGCAUUAAGUGCCCCGCCUGGGGAGUACGGCCGC
rnacentral:rRNA from 1 species